GUGUCAGCCGCCGCGGUAAUACGGAGGGUGCAAGCGUUAUCCGGAAUCAUUGGGUUUAAAGGGUCCGCAGGCGGAUUUAUAAUUCAGUGGUGAAAGCCUACAGCUUAACUGUAGAACUGCCAUUGAUACUGUAAGUCUUGAAUUCGGUCGAAGUGGGCGGAAUGUGUAGUGUAGCGGUGAAAUGCAUAGAUAUUACACAGAACACCGAUAGCGAAGGCAGCUCACUAGGCCUGGAUUGACGCUCAGGGACGAAAGCGUGGGGAUCAAACAGGAUUAGAAACCCUCGUAGUCC
rnacentral:rRNA from 1 species